ACAUGACUCUGAUUUUAACUCCAUAAAAAU
rnacentral:piRNA from 1 species